AACGCACCUUGCACCUUCUGGUAUUCCGGAAGGUACAUCUGUUUGAGUGUCAUUAAAUUCUCAACCAUUCAGCUUUUGUUAGCUGUCUGGCUUGGAUGUGAGGGUUGCGGGCUGCGUAACAGCGGUCGGCUCUCUUUAAAUGCAUUAGCUGGGGACUAUUACUUGGUUCAAGUGCUUCGAUGUUUGAAGGCCUCCUGGUGUGAUAAUUAUCUACGCUGUUGGCUUAGUCUUUGCGCCUAUUGGAUCUUGGAAUGAACCUGCUUCUAACUGUCUCGCAAGGGACUAGUCCGCUACAGGGCUAAUAAUGACUAUUGUGACCUCAAAUCAGAUGGGACUACCCGCUGAACUUAA
rnacentral:misc_RNA from 1 species